rnacentral:rRNA from 1 species
UACGUAGGGGGCGAGCGUUGUCCGGAUUCAUUGGGCGUAAAGAGCUCGUAGGCGGCUUGGUAAGUCGGGUGUGAAACCUCCAGGCUCAACCUGGAGACGCCACUCGAUACUGCCAUGGCUAGAGUCCGGUAGGGGCCCACGGAAUUCCUGGUGUAGCGGUAAAAUGCGUAGAUAUCGGGAGGAACACCUGUGGCGAAAGCGGCUCACUGGACCGCAACUGACGCUGAGGCGCGAAAGCUAGGGGAGCAAACAGG